CCAGAAGACCUGGCUAGCUUUGUGACACCAGCAGGACUUUGAGCAACCUAGGUGGAGCUUUGAGCAACCUGGUCUAGUGGAGGGUGCCCCUGCCCAUGACCAGGGGUUGGAACUGGAUGAACUUGAGUGUCCCUUCCAACCCAAAUCAUUCCAUGUUUCUAUGUUCAGUGCAGCCACUGGCUUCCCAGCCUAGAGCUCAGAUGAAACAUGAAGCUCUGCCAUGCCACUCGGUGGUGGCUCUCUGGGGAGCGUGGGAAUAGCUGGGACAGGGCUGAUCUGCACUCUCCCUUUGGCUCUGAACUCCUUGUGGGAAGCUUGUGGGAUCUGGGUAAGUGUUCUCUGCCUGCCAGGUGAGGUUUUGCAUCUGGCAGGUAAAGCUUCAUGUGGAGGGGCUUGGCUUUAUUCUCAGCUGUAGUGCUGCAGUAACCCCGCAGAGACAUUACGUUGUUAAAUAAACAGACUUGAUUUGCUUUGCUCAUCAGGGGUUUGACCCUGCAGCCUCAUCCCACAGCAUUAAGCACUGACAGUGAUGCAAGAAGUGGAAACAAUUUUCCUCUUCCGCAUCUUCAAUAAAUAACAUUCCCCCAAG